UACGGAGGGUGCGAGCGUUGUCCGGAAUCACUGGGCGUAAAGGGCGCGUAGGCGGCGCGGGAAGUCCGUGGUGAAAGCCCGAGGCUCAACUUCGGGUCGGCCAUGGAUACUCCUGGGCUUGAGCACUGUAGAGGCAGGUGGAAUUCCGGGUGUAGUGGUGGAAUGCGUAGAGAUCCGGAGGAACACCAGCGGCGAAGGCGGCAUCCUGGACUGGUCCUGACACUCAGGAGCGAAAGCGUGGGGAGCGAUCCGG
rnacentral:rRNA from 1 species